rnacentral:lncRNA from 1 species
AGAGUUGUUGUACUGGUGCAUGUUCACUCGAAAGGAAAGGAGAAUCUCUUUUUUUGGUUUUUUUUUUUUGUUUGUUUUGUUUUGUUUUGUUUUGUUUUGAGAGAGAACAGAGGUUCAGCAAGCUGUGUGCAGAUGGCCUGCAUGCCUGAUUUAUGGACUUCAGUACCAUAGUAUUUACAUUAAAGAGGGCAAUGACUAAUUCAAACUUUCUACUCUCCAGAGCAUUCUUUUUGGAUCUGGAAGCAGAAGGGAGAGAUAUGAGAGCGAAUGAACACACUCCAGAACUAGAAGAAAAGGCACCAUGGUUACAGCAACGGAGAAAUGAGGGAAGUGAAGUGACUCACCUGACACACUGCAGUAGUUACGAUCUCCUUCAGAACAGUUGUUCACUGCUUUCUUCUUUGUGUUUCACGGCUACCGUCAUCUUCAUAAGAAAUACUGCAGGAAAAAACUCCUCUCAUGCAUGACCUCUUCUAAAUGCAGGACAAUGAUAACCCUGCCCAUGGCCCUGGGAUUCCAUUCGCCAGUUAUUGAAGAACUCCUGUAAAUGUCUGACAUUUGAUGAUGUCAGGUAGGCCACGAUGACUGACUAUCCACGCAUUAGCUCUCCCCAUGGUUUUGAGAGUUCUUCAUUUUCCUCACAGGCAACCAAAAUCAGAAGUAUGGAAACAACACAUUUCCCUCUUCUGAAGGUUUUUCC